rnacentral:misc_RNA from 1 species
UAUCCGUUGGUGAACCAGCGGAGGGAUCAUUACAGAGUUGCAAAACUCCCAGACCAUUGUGAACGUUACCUAUCCCGUUGCUUCGGCGGGCGGCCCGGGCCCCGCGCCCGGCGCCCCCCGGCCCCCCGUGGGCGCCCGCCGGAGGUAAACCAAACCCUUGAAUUGCAUGGCCUCUCUGAGUCUUCUGUACUGAAUAAGUCAAAACUUUCAACAACGGAUCUCUUGGUUCUG